UCGGGAGAGGGAGAACACAGUUGGAGAAAAUCGGCAGCUGAGACGGCCUUGGCCGGACUUAGCACUCAGGCCUGUGAAUCAGGAGAUACAAAGACCUCCAAAAAAGGACCAGUUCCUCGGAUGUGCCCCCUCACAGAGAGAUGAAGGGGCAGCAGAAAACAGCUGAAACGGAAGAGGGGACAGUGCAGAUUCAGGAAGGUGCAGUGGCUACUGGGGAAGACCCAACCAGUGUGGCUAUUGCCAGCAUCCAGUCAGCUGCCACCUUUCCUGACCCCAACGUCAAGUACGUCUUCCGAACUGAGAAUGGGGGCCAGGUGAUGUACAGGGUGAUCCAGGUGUCUGAGGGGCAGCUGGAUGGCCAAACUGAGGGAACUGGCGCCAUCAGUGGCUACCCUGCCACUCAAUCCAUGACCCAGGCGGUGAUCCAGGGUGCUUUCACCAGUGAUGAUGCAGUUGACACGGAGGGGACAGCUGCUGAGACGCACUAUACUUACUUCCCCAGCACGGCAGUGGGAGAUGGGGCAGGGGGUACCACAUCAGGGAGUACAGCUGCUGUUGUUACUACCCAGGGCUCAGAGGCACUGCUGGGGCAGGCGACCCCUCCUGGCACUGGUCAAUUCUUUGUGAUGAUGUCACCACAAGAAGUACUGCAGGGAGGAAGCCAGCGCUCAAUUGCCCCUAGGACUCACCCUUAUUCCCCGAAGUCAGAAGCUCCCCGGACGACUCGGGAUGAGAAACGCAGGGCUCAGCAUAAUGAAGUGGAGCGCCGCCGCCGAGAUAAGAUCAACAACUGGAUCGUGCAGCUCUCCAAGAUAAUCCCAGACUGCUCUAUGGAGAGCACCAAGUCUGGCCAGGUCAUGGAAAGACCCUGGUAGUGGGCAGGAUGCCUGAAUUCUGUCUCCUGGUAUUUUUCCAGAAAUGGUAGAGAGAGGGGCGCACAUGACAGUAGUUUUAUCUCUCCCUGAGGUUCCUGUAUCCCUGGGAGAUAU
rnacentral:sRNA from 1 species